CAUUUUGGAUGCCACAAAGUCUUUUCUGAUCGAACCCCGUCUUCAGAACGCAAAACUUGAGAGAGAUAGCAUAGCACCGAAAUGGGGCUAUGGAAGCAGUAAACAAUUGAGUGUUUGCUGAUCAAAAAAAUGGAUGAGUAUGAGACAGAGGAAAGCGAAAGCGAAAGAGAAAGAAAAAGAGAGAGAAAGAUAAAGAGAUGGAAACAGAGAGGGGAAUUGGGGAGGGAGAUGGGUGAAAAUUAUUCUGUCUUGCAGAAACUGAAGCAUCUAAUGAUCAGUAAGGCGUGCAAUUUGACCGCAGAUCAGAUAGAUCAUAUCGACUCUUUUUACCAUCGGCUAAGAUUCCUAGCAAUCAUUCUCAAGGAUAUGGACGAGAAGCAGCAGCAGCAUGAGCUGAGCCAUGAAGUUAAAAACCUGCCGAUGCAAAUUGAUCAUGUGAUCUGCAAGACAAGACAACUCAUCCGUUCUUUUGAUGUUGAAGUUCCAGGGCAGAGGGACAGCAGCAACAACGGUAACAGUUUUUUUGAUAUUUUAAUUGGCACAACUAUAAUGGAAGAGAUUAAGACGAUCGAGGCAAAAGUGCUGCAGUUUUAUGACCAGAUGAAUCAGAUCCAACUCCUACAAGAUGAUAAGUCUUUCAAUGAUGGAGUCCAACCGUCAAUGUUAAUGGAGAACAGAACCACGGUAGAGGAAGAAAUUAUGGUCGGCUUUGAUAAUGAGGCGUUGACUAUAAAAGAGCGACUUAUUGCUCGAGGGAAGAGGCGGCUACAAAUGAUAAAAGAGCGACUUAUUGCUGGAGGGAACAAGCUGCAACAAAUGAUGAAUUUGUCAAAGCCAAUGUCAAUGCCAAUGCCAAUGUCAAUGGGGAACAGAACCAUGGUAGAUGAAGAAAUUACAGUGGGCUUUGAGGAUGAUGCGUUGACUAUAAAAGAGCGACUUGCCGGAGGGAAGCAGCAGCUACAAAUGAUAUCAAUUGUUGGGAUGCCUGGACUCGGUAAGACUACUUUAGCCACAAAACUGUACAAUGAUCCUUACAUCAUACACUACUUUCAUAUUCGUGCAUGGACCUAUGCUUCUCAAUUGCCCAGAAAAACAGAUAUGUUGUUGGAUAUUUUACGUUCUGUUAAUGUCGUCUUUACCGAUGAAAUUACAAACAUGACCAAUGAGAAGCUAGGCGAAAAGUUGUACAAGCAAUUAAAAGGCCAGAGGUAUCUCAUUGUCAUUGAUGAUUUAUGGGAUAUUGGUGCCUGGGUCAAUCUUAAAAUGUAUUUCCCCAAUGACAACAAUGGAAGUAGAGUUAUGUUUACUAGUCGCCUCAAAGAGGUGGCUAUGCAUGCCUCACCUGAUUGCCAUCAUCAUUGUCUGCGUCCUCUCACUGAAGAAGAGAGUUGGGAGUUGUUACAACGGAAGGUGUUUCAAAAUGGACGUUGCCCUCCAGAACUGAUUGAAAUUGGGAAGCAAAUAACGAAAAGAUGUGGAGGGCUUCCACUUGCAAUUGUUGUAAUUGCAGGACUUCUUGCAAAGAACAUCAAGACACAAAAGUCGUGGAAAAAAGUUGCCCAAAGUGUAAGCUCAUACAUUGUUAGUGAUCCAAACCAGUACUUGGACACACUAGCACUGAGUUACAACCACUUGCCUCGCCACUUGAAACCAUGCUUUCUCUAUUUAGGAGCAUUUCCAGAAGAUCAAGAAAUCUCGGUUGAGAGAUUAAUUUGGUUAUGGAUAGCUGAGGGGUUUAUACAAAAAAUUGAGCAGAAAAGCUUGGAGGAAGUAGCGGAGGGUUACUUAAUGGAUCUCAUUCAAAGAAGUCUGGUAAUUGUUGCUCAAAAAAGGUUUGAUGGUCGAAUUAAAGCAUGUCGUAUGCAUGAUUUGUUGCGUGAUUUAUGCUUGAAGAAAGCCAGAGAAAUUAAUUUCCUAAAGUGGAUUCACAAUUAUGAAGAUUCUUAUCCUCCUCCUUCAAGUAAUUACAAAGCAAACAACCAAUGUCACCUGUGUAUCGACUUUGACUUCUUGGAAAAAUGUGAUCAUGUUCUCUUAGAGUCUUAUUCCCCAGUAGUUGUUCAAUCAUUAUUGUGCUUCAGAAUUAAGUCUGGGAGAGAAAUUAGUUACGGUGACAGUCCGUUUGAUGAUGUGUUCUCGUUUAUUUGUUGCAACUUCAAACUUCUUAGAGUGUUGAACAUAUGGUACAUCAAUGCCUUCAUUUCAAGAGAAUUAACACAACUAGUUUAUUUGAGGUAUUUGGCAAUUAAUUUGAAAAGUUCUUGUGGAUUACCGCCAUCAAUAUCCAAUCUCUCAAACCUAGAAACACUUGUUAUUUCUACACAACGGGGUGAGGUUAUUCUUCCAUGUAAUGUUUGGAAGAUUCCAAAGUUGAGGCAUCUUUAUGCUAAAGGAGGUGCAAAAGUUGACGUGUUUUUAUGUUCUGAAGAAGAAGUAACAGAUCCCAACUAUCCCUUUUUUUUGGUGAAUGAUCACAACCAUCCCUCCAUAUUAGAAAACCUACGAACCAUCACUAACUUAAACUGUUAUGGAUUUAUUCAGGAUUUAUUGGCAAGAACUCCUUUUCUUACAGAGCUGGGAAUUUGUGGACAACUGUUUUCAGAUUCGGGGAAUUGGAUGUUUCUUAACCUAGAAGUUUUAAGACACCUUGAGACUCUGAAGCUAUGCAACAGUUUUUUCCCCAGAUACACAACUACUGUCAGAGAGGUCAAUUUUCCUGCAAAUAUUAAAAGGCUAACCUUGAAAUAUACAGGGAUAGAGUGGGAGGAGAUAUCAGUCCUUGGGAUGAUGUUACCCAACCUUGAGCUUCUCAAAUUAGAAAAUGAUGCUGCCUGGGGACAGCAAUGGGAAACAACUGAUGGUGGGUUUCCUCGACUCAAAUUCUUGAAACUGAAGGAACUUGAUGUUGAGCGAUGGAUCACCUGCUCUGGUCCCUUUCCAAGCCUUCAACACUUAUCGUUGGAACGGUGUCAAUAUCUCAGGGAAAUACCAUCUAGUUUGGGGGAUAUACUCACUCUGCAGCUGAUUGAGGUAAACUUUUGUCAUUUCUCUGUUGAGGAAUCUGUCAGGCAAAUUAAGGAAGAGCAAGAGAGCAUUGGAAAUAAUUGGUUGAAAGUGCUGAUUAGAGGAAUCAAACGUGGGGGCCCUUGAGUAAAGUGUAAUGAUGCAACUUCUAGAGGGAAAGUCAGUGUAAUUUUAGAAAAAGAAGGGGAGAUCAGUGUGAUUGUCAAGAACCUCAAUCAAGGGAUGAAGAUUGUCUUGCUUAUGGCUUCCCUCCCUUGUUCUGAAUCAAACAGAAAUGGUGUUUUCAAAGGUGCUAUCAGAGAAAAUGUACCAAUUAGAGAUUGAGUGUUUGAUUGCGCUAGAAAUUGCUAGUUAAGUGUGCUUUUUAUGUAAUAUAACUGUGUGUGAGUGCUUGUUUGUAAUAUCUAACUACUGAAUUAACCCAAAAAAAUAUAUAACUACUGUUUACUAGGAAAUUGUUGGAGUAUUAUUCUGUCUUGCUUAUUGUCAAAAUAUAAAAAUGGAGUAGAGUUUGUGACUUUAAA